CCCACUAACCAGGUCAUCAACAUUGGUUAGGACCAGAUCUAAAAUGGCUGUUCCUCUUGUUGCUUCUCCCACUUUCUGGACAAUGAAGUUGUCUGCAAGGCCAGUGUGAUGGCCUGGGAAUCCGAUUCAGAGGCUGAACCGGAGGAAUCCCAGCCUGCACAGGAGUCCCCGCCUCCAGGGCCGGCUGAACUGGGGCAGGGCCUUGAUUCUGAAGCGCCUGCACCUGUGCCGGUUCCUCAGGAGCAGGCACCAGGUGAAUCCACUCUGGCUCCGGAGGUGGUUGAGGACUCAGUGCCUACAGGUGAGUCUCCCCCUGGGUCCAGUAACCCUUCAGCCUCUCCUGAACUGCAGAGGCUCAGGGCAGAGAGGCGAAGGGAACUGGUUUCUCCCAGGAGGAGUGCUCGCCUUAAGGCCAGGAGAGGCUGGUCUCCUGGGGGCCGGGACCGCCCCUGGCCUCAGAGAAGAUAAAGGCCAGUCAGCCCGGUCCCAGGUUGCGGGAGCAACGUCGUUGAGUACCUGCUCUUGCCCGGACCCAGACCUGACCUUCCAGUGAUCCUGUCCCCGCCCGGCUUUCUGCUUCGGACCUCGCCUCGCUCCUUGUGAACUGUUUCCAGACCAGUGACCCAGGACCGGACUUUGACUACGUCAACGGUAACCUUCCCCCCGGGACCAGCACAGUUUGCUCCCGCCACACCCACACUCCCCCUUCAUUGGGGUGCGUUCGGGAAAAGCCAGAAGCCAUGGCCGACCAGGCAGCUGCGCUGGUGGCAUUGGCCCAGGAGAAACAGGCCUUGACUCACACCGUGCAGCAGCUCAGCGAUGCGUUUACGGCACUUCAGCAGCGGUUGGAUGCCCUACCGGCUCCUGUGGCUGACGCCCCAGGUCCAGGCAAGUACCCAGUGGCCUUGCCAGAGAAAUUUGAUUGGGCCCCGGCCAGCUUUCCCAUGUUCCUCGCCCAGGCCAAGUUGUAUAUUCGGGGCGAGCCUGGAACUUCCCUGACGACCGCACCAAGGUGCACUUUUUGAUCAGUUUGUUAAAGGACCAGGCAGCCAAGUGGGCAUUGCCGCUGCUCAGGCAAGACUCGCCCUUGCUGACAGACUGUAUGGGGUUUUGCAACCAUUUGGAGGCCGCAUUCGGCAACCCCCAGAAGGAGAGUCAAGCCAACCAGGCAAUUAGGCGUUUGAAACAGGGCAAGUCCACUGCGGCCGCCUACACCAUGGAAUUUCGGCUGUUGGCGCAAGACUUGUCUUGGAAUGACUCUGCACUUCGGGACCAGUAUCUUGAGGGACUGUCGGAUGAGAUACUGGACCAGUUGGCCAUGAUGGAUCGUCCCACCACGCUGGACGCCCUUAUUCAGCGGAGCCUGCAGAUAGACGAUCGGUUGGAGGACCGUCGCCAGACCCGGGACCGCCAGCACCCCCGGCUCCUGGCUCCAGUCCUUCCCAGCAGGUCCACGCCCACAGCCGAGUUGCCGGACGAGCCAACGCAGCUCAGGGCUGCGCGACCUUGCCUCUCCCCCUUGGAGAAGACGCGGUGUCGGGAGGGGAACCUGUGUCUUUACUGCGGUGGGAGUGGACAUUACGCCCGAUCCUGUCCCAAGAAGAUGCCAGUCGCAGGGAAACCGCCAACCUCGGUAGCCGAAGGCCCUAGCAACCUGGGGUCCCAAACCAUGCAAGAGGGGCUCUCACCAGUGGAUUUGCGACAUCUCAUGGUUCCGGUGCGUCUCUACCCUCCAGGUGGGCCCUGGAUUCUUACCCACGCUCUGGUGGAUUCAGGGGCAACCCGCUCCUAUAUGGACGCUGCCUUUGCCGCUCAUCAUCAGGUGCCACUUCAGAACAAGCCAGAACCGGUACAGGUGGAGGCAAUUGACGGACGGCUCCUGCGUUCAGGAGCCAUCACUCGGGAGACCCAGCCCUUGGUCCUGUGUCUCCAGCAGCACCGGGAGGUGCGAACUUUGGACAUUGCCUCCAUGCCCCGGUUCCCCCUGGUGCUCGGGAUGGACUGGCUGGAGGCUCACAAUGUUCAGAUUGACUGGGUCAAUCGGACUGUGCACUUCCCAGACCCGUGUCCCCAUGCUCAGUCCGAGAUGCUAGCAGCCGCACCCACUGAGGAGGCUGCAUCCACGCUCCCCACCGAGUACCGGGACUACCAAGACGUGUUCGAGGAACGGGGGGCAGACCAGCUGCCGCCACAUCGGUCUUUUGACUGCGGCAUAGACCUCCAGCCCGGAGCGCCCCUGCCGGUGACUCGCUUAUACUGUCUAACAGAGCCAGAUCGCGAAGCGUUGCAGGACUUCCUGCACAAGAACCUGGAGUGUGGUUUCAUUAGGCCUUCUACCUCGCCCACCGCUGCGCCAGUGCUCUUCGUUAAGAAGAAAUGUGGGGAGCUUCGCCUUUGCCAUGAUUACCGGGCCCUGAACAAAAUUACCAUCCCAGACCGGUACCCCUUGCCCCUUAUUUUGGAGUUGCUGGAGCCGUUGCAAGGGGCGCAGGUGUUCACCAAGCUAGACCUCCAGGGGGCCUACAAUUUAAUUCGGAUCCGAGCCGGGGAUGAGUGGAAGACAGCAUUCGGGACCCGGUACAGGCAGUUCGAAUACCUGGUUAUGCCCUUCGGAUUGUGCAACGCGCCCGCUGUGUUCCAACGGUACAUCAACCACAUGUUCCAAGACUUCCUAGACAAGUACGUGGUGGUGUACUUCUGGUUGACAUUCUGGUUUUCUCCCGUGACCCGGCUCUCCACGAGGGUCAUGUCCGGACUGUGCUGCAGCGCUUGCGGGAGCACCGCCUGUAUGCGAAGCUCAGCAAGUGCGAGUUCCAUCAGCGGUCAGUGGACUUCCUUGGUCACCGACUCCAGAUGGGGUGCAGAUGGAUCCUGGGAAGGUGGCAGCGGUUCGGGAAUGGGCGGCACCUCGGAACCGCAAGGACCUACAGCGAUUCCUGGGGUUCGCCAACUAUUACCGGACCUUAAUUGCAGAUUAUGCUCAUCGCACCACCCCGUUGACCCGGCUACUGCGCCCCAAGACGCCGUUUUCCUGGUACGAGGAGGCAGAGGAGGCGUUUCAGGGGUUGAAAGCCUGUUUCCAGAGAGCGCCGAUCUUGCAACAUCCUGAUCCCUCUCGACCCUUUGUGGUAGAGACCGACGCCUCCAGUACGGCUCUCGGUGCCGUCUUGUCUCAGCAGUACGGACCCGAUGCGCCACUCUUACCCUGCGCCUUCUAUUCCCGCCAGCUCCUUCCAGCGGAGCGUAACUAUACCGUGUGGGAGCAGGAACUACUGGCCAUCAAGGUGGCCUUUGAAGUCUGGCGCCACCAUCUUGAGGGGGCACGACACCCGGUGGAGGUGAGAACCGACCACCGGAACCUGGAGUACCUCCAGACCACCCGCAAGCUGAACCAAAGGCAGAUCCGGUGGGCGUUGUUCUUUCCCGGUUCCAGUUCCGGAUCCGCUAUAUCCCUAGCUCCCAAAACCAGAAGGCGGAUGCCCUGUCCCGGAAACCUGAAGACAACGCAGACACGGUACAGCAAGCAGUACCCACCACGAUCCUACCACCGGCUGCAUUCCUGGCCACCCAGGAGGCUGAGCCACUGCAGGCUCGGGUGCGGGAACAGCAGCGGGUCGAUGCUUGGGCCCAGGAAUGACUCCGGGAACUGGCCGAAGGGUCAUGCCCUCUGUAUCCGGGGCUGGGCUUGCAACAGGGCCUUCUGCUGCACCACGGUCGCCUGUAUAUCCCACCAGGGCCACUGCAGGCUUAGGUUCUCCGGAUGACCCAUGAUGCCCCAGCAGCGGGACACUUUGGGCGGUAUCGGACCACCCAUCUGGUAAGCCGUGAGUUUUGGUGGCCCCGCCUGAAGGCUGACGUGGCUCGCUACGUUGCUGGUUGUUAUGUCUGCCGGUGGGUAGACAUCUGUUCCAGGAAGGCAUCAUCUAUGUCCUCCGUUUGGCUUGGGGAUCUAUAGUAAACUCCCACAGUGAGGUCACUGUUAUUCUUCUCUCCCUUAAUUUUGACCCAAAUGCUCUCACUUUGGCUUUGAGGUUCUAAAUCUUGGAUCUCUUCACAGGUAUACACAUCCCUGACAUAUAACGCCACUCCUCCUCCUUUCUUGUCUGGUCUGUUUCUCUGAAAUAGAUUGUAUCCCUCCAUUGUUACAUUCCAAUCGUGGGACUUAUCCCACCAGGUUUCAGUGAUGCCUAUUAUGUCAUAUUUAGUUUGCUGUACCAAGAGCUCAAGCUCAUCUUGUUUAUUUCCCAUGCUUUGCGCAUUAGUGUACAGACACUGAAGUCCAUUAAUCAUUCCCCCGUGUCUCUUAUUUAAGGAUUUUUUCCUCCCACCACUAGGUCUGCGUGCUGUUUGCUCCAUUUGGUCUAUGACAUUUGGAUGAUCAUCUUCAUCAGUUGAUAGACUCCUACCUUCAGGAGCAUUGUCUCCCUCCCCC
rnacentral:lncRNA from 1 species